GUUUGAAGGGAAGUGAGUUUUUUUGGAAGUAGUGGUCAAACCAAUUAGUCUUUAGAUCUGAAUAUUGGCACCUUUGUUGGCCACUAAGAGGUGGACACGCCUCUGAGGACACGAGGGGUUAAAAGCCGGAUUUCCCAGCAGGACUCCUUCUUUCCUGCUCUGCUUUCGGAGAGGGAGCGUCUUCUCCUCUCCCCUGUCCGGGCCUGGCUAGGCCGGGUGGGGGAGGGGAGCAAGGUGGGCCUGGCUUAGCAAGAGAGAAGGUGCCGAGCUGGAGCUGCUUGUGAGAGCUGCAGUGUCUGCGAUCGCCUGUGCCUGACCUUGGUGGUGGGAGAUAAAGCUUUUAACUCUUUCUAAGGCAGAAGAGAGUUACCCCUGGACGCUGAAUUCUCAUAGUUGGUGGUUUUAGAAGAGAGAGGACAGCCUGGGACCGAGAGGGUAAUGUGAGAUGGAAAGAAGCCCCUUCGAUUGCCGGAAUGAAGAGGAGUGGCUUAUGAGGCUGGACUUUUCUUGCAUAAUGAUAGCCAUAGACGGACCCUGGACCCUCCUGACUAUAAAUAAGACUGUGUUUGGGUGGAUGUUUUUGGCUCAAACCCAGAGACGUUCUGGCCUGCUUCUUGGAGCCCCCGGCCCCAGGGGUAAAUGGGGGGGAACCUGAGUCCCGAAAUGAGAAGAUGGCUGGUUUUUGGUACUUGGCCAAAACAUCCUUAAAAAGAGCCCUGUUGCAGUGCAGGUCCAUGGACGGCAGUGAGAGUGCCGGACAUGGAAAGGAGGGUGUCACCCUGGCAGACCCUUCCAGGCAGUGCCAUGGGUGACGUGGGAACGCGGGAUGGUGGACCUGUGUUUCCUGUGGGGAGGGGUCUGUGGUGCGAGAGAGACUCCUCUCGUCCUGGAUGGAAUGUGGAUUGUCUGAAUUUUAAAGGAUGAUGAUUUGGAUUAGGAACCCAGGGUUGUGGAGGGAUUAAGCAAGUAGAUGAAGGUAAUGUGCUGGAGACAACUGAGUGAGCAUGUAUGGAAUGGAAAUUGGGGGGGAGGAGAAGCAGUGUUUUGGGAGGUUUUUUCUUCUGCUUUUGGGUGGUUGGGUUUUUCUUUCCUUUUCUAUUGUCCAUUGUUAUGUAAUAUAAUAAAUUGUCUGUCUGUUUCAAGAA